rnacentral:tRNA from 1 species
GCGCACGUGGUGGAAUUGGUAGACACGCUGUCUUGAGGGGGCAGUGCCUUAACUGGCGUGGAAGUUCGAAUCUUCUCGUGCGCACCA